rnacentral:rRNA from 1 species
UACGUAGGGUGCAGGCGUUAAUCGGAAUUACUGGGCGUAAAGGGCUCGUAGGCGGCCAACUAAGUCCGACGUGAAAUCCCCAGGCUUAACCUGGGAACUGCGUCGGAUACUGGAUGGCUUGAAUCCGGGAGAGGGAUGCGGAAUUCCAGGUGUAGCGGUGAAAUGCGUAGAUAUCUGGAGGAACACCGGUGGCGAAGGCGGCAUCCUGGACCGGCAUUGACGCUGAGGAGCGAAAGCCAGGGGAGCAAACGGG